rnacentral:rRNA from 1 species
CCGCCCAAGAGUUCACAUCGACGGCGGUGUUUGGCACCUCGAUGUCGGCUCAUCACAUCCUGGGGCUGAAGCCGGUCCCAAGGGUAUGGCUGUUCGCCAUUUAAAGUGGUACGCGAGCUGGGUUUAGAACGUCGUGAGACAGUUCGGUCCCUAUCUGCCGUGGGCGUUUGAGAUUUGAGAAGAGUUGCUCCUAGUACGAGAGGACCGGAGUGAACGAACCUCUGGUGUACCGGUUGUGAUGCCAAUUGCAUUGCCGGGUAGCUACGUUCGGACGGGAUAACCGCUGAAAGCAUCUAAGCGGGAAGCCUCCUUCAAGAUGAGAUCUCACUGGGAACUUGAUUCCCCUAAAGGGCCGUUUAAGACUAAGACGUUGAUAGGCUGGGUGUGGAAGCGUUGUGAGGCGUUGAGCUAACCAGUACUAAUUGCCCGUGAGGCUUGACCAUAUAAC